UGUUUCGGCUAGGGGGCCAUCCCGGCUUACCAACCCGAUGCAAACUGCGAAUACCGGAGAAUGUUAUCACGGGAGACACACGGCGGGUGCUAACGUCCGUCGUGAAGAGGGAAACAACCCAGACCGCCAGCUAAGGUCCCAAAGUCAUGGUUAAGUGGGAAACGAUGUGGGAAGGCCCAGACAGCCAGGAUGUUGGCUUAGAAGCAGCCAUCAUUUAAAGAAAGCGUAAUAGCUCACUGGUCGAGUCGGCCUGCGCGGAAGAUGUAACGGGGCUAAACCAUGCACCGAAGCUGCGGCAGCGACACUGUGUGUUGUUGGGUAGGGGAGCGUUCUGUAAGCCUGUGAAGGUGGCCUGUGAGGGUUGCUGGAGGUAUCAGAAGUGCGAAUGCUGACAUAAGUAACG
rnacentral:rRNA from 1 species